UCCAAGAUGGUCUAGUGGUUAAGACUCGUUGUUUUCACCACUGUUGCUUGGGUUCGAUCCCUGUUCUGGAA
rnacentral:tRNA from 1 species